UACGUAGGUGGCAAGCGUCGUCCGGAUUUACUGGGCGUAAAGGGUGUGCAGGCGGCUUGUUAAGUGCAGGGUGAAAGCUCCCGGCUCAACUGGGAGAGGCCCUUGCAUACUGGCGAGCUCGAGGGAGGCAGAGGAAAGUGGAAUUCCCGGUGUAGUGGUGAUAUGCGUAGAUAUCGGGAGGAACACCUGUGGCGAAGGCGGCUUUCUGGGCCUUACCUGACGCUGAGACGCGAAAGCGUGGGGAGCGAACCGG
rnacentral:rRNA from 1 species